CUGUUGUCAAUAAACGUCUAAGGUUAAAUUAGCUUAAGGUUAAAUUAGUUAAGGUUAAACAUGAUAUUUAAUGCUUAUUUGAAAAAUAGUUUGAUAGAUGCGUUUGAUCCUAUAAUUUUUUCAAGUGAUAUGCUUUCGUUGUCUAUAACAAAAAUGUUGAGUUAAUACCAAUUUACAGAAAAUCAUUUGCAUAACCAUACUAUCUACAUAUAUAUCAUAAAAUGAUAUCUUAUUCAUAAUGUGUUUGUUGGGAAUUAUUCGAUAUCAACAACACACUAUUUUUCUAUUAACUGCAAGGGAAUCGUUUCUAACUAAUCCAUCCAAAGGAAAGAGUAAUGUCGUCGUUCAAUUUAAAAGAGAUUUCAACGCCACGUUUAGGUUAUCUAUUAAACAGGAAUACAAGAAGCAAAAGAUUCUAUCAAGCAUUUACAAAAUGAAAAGUUGAUUGAAGUACAUUAUGAACAGGUCCAGUUAAUAUAUUGAAGGUAAAUAUGAACGAAGCAAUUAAACGAAGUAAUAAGACAAUAAAAAAUAGUGAUGGGCCGUAAUCGCAAUGGAAAGACUUUUUGGAAUAUUUAUGUCCACAGUUAUUGUUUUCUUUGUCAUACUUAAAUAUACUACCAUUGUCAAUGAUGGUGGGAGAGAAGACAUUAAUAUAUUAGGAAAACUCUUAAAAGAAUUGAAGAAAGUAUUAUCUACAGUCAAGGACGUGAAUUAUUUAGAAAACGAAUUAAAAGUAAAAAUCUAAAACGAUAAAGGAUCGUUAAUUGUAUAAGCUCGUCACAAAUAAGAGAUAGAUGGCAAAAAAUAAAAUAGAUUAAGUUAACUACCUGGAAAUAUAACAUUUUAGAGGAAUAAUCGAAUCUUAACAGCAAAAUCAUGGAGAAACAACAAUGAAUUAAAGGAUCAUUCACAAGAGAUUUUUCAUCAGAGGUAGCUUCUCAUUUUGUAUUGCAGAAAAAAUAGAAAAUGUUCAAUAUUUAGAAGAUCAUCCUCAAAUUAUCGAAGAUGAAUUGCACAAGUAAAAAUUAAUACGCAAAAAUUACAUGAGCAUAAUGUAAUCUUUUGAUGCAUAAGUAUACUUUGAAAAUGAAUACUGUGAAUUUCACAGUCAUUUUGACAAGACGUUGAAAAGGAGCCGCCUGAAGAAAAUAAAAUAUGGAAAUGGAAUAAAGGAUUCAGACCAAAUAAUUUGGAUUUAGAUCAUCGAAGAAAAGAGCCUUCAACAAUAUGGAACAAGCAACAAGGAUGUUACCCAAAAGCGAGCCUCUUGUGAAAAUCAAAUUUAGCAGGAACAAAUGAUACGUCAGCUUACAGACUGCAACAGAGUAUUCUAAGAUAUACACAUCAAUGAAAAAAUAAUCGAAAGGAUGAAACUAUUACACAUAUGUUAUCUAAUAUUCAAUCACCGCUUUGACGAAAUAAUAAUGGAACGCAGAACGGUACUAUGAAAAAGGAUAUUAAUCAGCAACAACAUAGUAAUGACACAAACACAUUUUGGUCAAAAUCACUUGUCAGCUGAUUGAUUUUUAAACGUAACGGUUAUUGAAAUAACAAUCGAAAAAAAGAAACUUAUCCAAAUUCACUUUUAGAUUGCAAUUAACAAGUAAUAUACUUUAAUACGAACUUUAAAUAAGCCAAACUUUUCAUAAAGCUCACAUCAGAAGAUCCAAACAUCUGAAAAUUUCUAAUAGCUUUAUAGUCUACCAUCAAAACAUUUUUAGGAUUGUAUUCUUUAGGAUCAAUUAUAUCAAUUACGCUGGAUGGUGGACUUAUAUAUUUAUUUAUCUUAGCGAUAUUCAAAAUUUUAUAAAGCGCUCUUUUGAUCGCUUUCAAAAAAGAAAUUGUGAAGGAAAUAUGAAGUACGAAUGAAUAUUAUAAAUUCGCCCACACACUUUGACCAGAUUUUUCUCUUAUAAAUGGAAUUGAAUAUAUCAAAUAUAUUCAAUUGAUAUACAUAUAUAUAUAUAUAAGAGGGUGGAGAUGUCAACAGGUGCAGUUAUUGCUUGGUUUAAUCUCUCGUCCCGCCCGAUCCGCUUCUGGUCUCACCACUCUCUUUAGAAAAGACUAUUUUUGUGACUAAUUCGUCCUUAUUGGCUGUUUUGCAUUUUACACGAGUUGUUAAAAUGACCCUCACGUAGUAUUGGUCAUUUUCCUACAUUUUCAUGCUUUUACUAUUAUUAUUAUUGUUAUUAAUGUUAACUUCGAUUUGAAACUUAUAGAAAUUUCAACAAACAAUUUUUUGGACGAACUUGCUUAUCAUCCGGAAAAAGAAAAAAACUUUGAAAAGUAUAAAUUUCGAUAAAAUGAAGUAUUGAAGUGACAAAUAAUAGUAGUAAUAAUAAUAAUAAUGAUGAU